UGUGUUGUUGGGUAGGGGAGCGUUCUGUAAGCCUGUGAAGGUGUGCUGUGAGGCAUGCUGGAGGUAUCAGAAGUGCGAAUGCUGACAUAAGUAACGAUAAAGCGGGUGAAAAGCCCGCUCGCCGGAAGACCAAGGGUUCCUGUCCAACGUUAAUCGGGGCAGGGUGAGUCGACCCCUAAGGCGAGGCCGAAAGGCGUAGUCGAUGGGAAACAGGUUAAUAUUCCUGUACUUGGUGUUACUGCGAAGGGGGGACGGAGAAGGCUAUGUUGGCCGGGCGACGGUUGUCCCGGUUUAAGCGUGUAGGCUGGUUUUCCAGGCAAAUCCGGAAAAUCAAGGUUGAGGCGUGAUGACGAGGCACUACGGUGCUGAAGCAACAAAUGCCCUGCUUCCAGGAAAAGCCUCUAAGCAUCAGGUAACAUCAAAUCGUACCCCAAACCGACACAGGUGGUCAGGUAGAGAAUACCAAGGCGCUUGAGAGAACUCGGGUGAAGGAACUAGGCAAAAUGGUGCCGUAACUUCGGGAGAAGGCACGCUGAUAUGUAGGUGAAGUCCCUCGCGGAUGGAGCUGAAAUCAGUCGAAGAUACCAGCUGGCUGCAACUGUUUAUUAAAAACACAGCACUGUGCAAACACGAAAGUGGACGUAUACGGUGUGACGCCUGCCCGGUGCCGGAAGGUUAAUUGAUGGGGUUAGCGCAAGCGAAGCUCUUGAUCGAAGCCCCGGUAAACGGCGGCCGUAACUAUAACGGUCCUAAGGUAGCGAAAUUCCUUGUCGGGUAAGUUCCGACCUGCACGAAUGGCGUAAUGAUGGCCAGGCUGUCUCCACCCGAGACUCAGUGAAAUUGAACUCGCUGUGAAGAUGCAGUGUACCCGCGGCAAGACGGAAAGACCCCGUGAACCUUUACUAUAGCUUGACACUGAACAUUGAGCCUUGAUGUGUAGGAUAGGUGGGAGGCUUUGAAGUGUGGACGCCAGUCUGCAUGGAGCCGACCUUGAAAUACCACCCUUUAAUGUUUGAUGUUCUAACGUUGGCCCCU
rnacentral:rRNA from 1 species